UCCCCAGUGGUCCAGUGGGUAAGACUCUGCACUCCUAAUGCAUGGGGCCUGGGUUCAAUCCCUGGUUGGGGAA